GCCAUUACAGACUCGCACAAUUCAAUGGAUGAUAAUCGUUUUCGCUGAGAGAACGAGUGCCGCUCAAGUUCGAGCUCUGCCGCCGAAGAGAGCGGGCAUUGCAUUGCACUCUAACAACGACCUUAAUGGAGCCCCAGAAGAAGAAGAAGAAAAUAACCCAUCGAGAUUCGAGAGGAAACUACUUGUGUUCUUGCUCUUUCUUUAUCAAAGGAUUACAGAGAGUUGGAUUUUGUUUUUGUCUCUAGAAAAAAAUAAAUGGGUAAAAAGAAGAAAGACAUUAUUCAACUGGAGCGAGAAUCUGUAAUUCCCAUACUCAAGCACAAGCUCAUUGCAGCUCUAUCUGACCACAUUGAACUUGGAGCUGAUCGUGAUGAGUUUUUAAAACUCUGCCAGAGAGUCGAAUAUACAAUUCGAGCAUGGUACCAUCUACAUUUUGAAGAUCUCAUGCAAUUGUAUGCCCUCUUUGAGCCCAUUUAUGGAGCCAAUAAAUUGGAGCAGCAGAAUCUAACCCCGGAAGAUAUUGACAUUUGUGAACAGAAGUUUUUGUCAUGCUUAUUUGAGGUGAUGGAUAAGAGUAAUUUCAAAAUAGCUACUGAUGAUGAGAUUAAUAUUGCACUUUCUGCACAAUAUCGUUUAAAUCUUCCAAUCGUAGUCAAUGAAGCUAAGCUCGACAAGAGGCUGUUUACUAAGUACUUUGCAAAGAAUCCUCAUGAUAACCUCCCAUAUUUUGCUGAUAAGUUCAUAAUCUUCCGGCGUGGAUUUGGAAUUGAUAAGAUGACUGCUUACUUUAUCAAAUCAAAAAUAAAUACAAUUCUUGCGCGUUUAUGGAGGUGUUUCUUGACAGUUACUGGGUUAAAAAGAAUUCUCUUCACAAAAUCAGGAGCAUCUAUUGACAAAGAUAUAAAACCUGUUGAAAUCUGCGUAGAAGAUGAUCAAAAUGAUUUAUAUGUUGAACGAAUCCGUAUUGAGAAGAUGAAACUCAGUUUCUCGAAUCUUAUUGGCAAGGUUACAAUCCAAGAACCUACCUUUCAGAGUAUAAUUGUUGUUUACAGGAGAACAAGUUCCAAAAAAGAAACAGAGAGGAAUAUUUAUGUGAAGCAAUUCAAGAACAUUCCAAUGGCUGAUAUGGAGAUAGUACUGCCAGAAAAGAACAAUCCAGGCUUAACUCCAAUGGAUUGGGUCAAAUUCAUUGUUUCUGCUGUAAUCGGACUGGUUACUGUAAUCGGUUCACUCAGCUCCCCAAAAGCUGAUAUCCGGGUCAUUUUUGCUAUCCUGUCAUCAGUGGUUGGUUAUUGUGUCAAGACGUACUUCACGUUUCAAAGUAACUUGGUUUCCUAUCAGAGUCUAAUCACUCAGUCCGUGUAUGACAAACAAUUGGAUAGUGGAAGGGGCACUCUUCUUCACUUGUGUGACAAUGUGAUUCAACAAGAAGUAAAAGAGGUGAUUGUUUCAUUUUUUGUGCUGAUGGAGCAAGGACAAGCUACUAGACAGUAGGAACUUGAUCAGCGGUGCGAGGAUCUGAUUAAACAUGAAUUUGGUGAAAUCUGUAAUUUUGAUGUAGAUGAUGCAGUUCAAAAGUUAGAAAAGUUGGGAAUUGUUACUAAGGACUUGGCUGGAAGGUAUACAAGUGUCAACUUGAAACUUGCUAAUGAGAUAAUUGGCACCACAACAGAGGAGGUAGUUCUUAAAGCUAAACAUGGUGAUAGCAGUUCCAGAUACUACGGGAAAGUGAGAUCCUUCUGAUCUGAGUGAAAUUUGAGAAUUUGAUGCCACAGGAUCACCUGCAAGUGAUUGUUACGCUAUCCAGCACCUGCACAGUGAAACUAGAUGGCAAGUUGUAUACUUAUAAAGAUUUUUCAUCGUCACUAGUCUUUUUAUGUACAUAUUUUCACUGGUAUGAGCGCUAAUCCAAUUUUUAUUGCUUAAAACAAGAUACCAUAAAUGAUUAUCAACAGAAAAAUGCAGUAAA
rnacentral:misc_RNA from 1 species